GACGAACGCUGGCGGCGUGCUUAACACAUGCAAGUCGAGCGGUAAGGCCCUUUCGGGGGUACACGAGCGGCGAACGGGUGAGUAACACGUGGGUGACCUGCCCUCAGCUCUGGGAUAAGCCUGGGAAACCGGGUCUAAUACUGGAUAUGACUCCAUGACGCAUGUUGUGGGGUGGAAAGCCUUGUGCGGCUGAGGAUGGGCCCGCGGCCUAUCAGCUUGUUGGUGGGGUGANGGCCUACCAAGGCGACGACGGGUAGCCGGCCUGAGAGGGCGACCGGCCACACUGGGACUGAGACACGGCCCAGACUCCUACGGGAGGCAGCAGUGGGGAAUC
rnacentral:rRNA from 1 species